GGGUGUCCGGAAGGAACUCCUCGUAUAAUUAUUUGGUAAAAAUUUGCAUUUAACCGGAAUUGCAUUCAUCAUUACUCCUGGGUGACCGAUAGCGAAGUAGUACCGUGAGGGAAGGGUGAAAAGAACCCCCGUCGGGGAGUGAAAUAGAACAUGAAACCGUAAGCUCCCAAGCAGUGGGAGGAGUCUAGGGCUCUGACCGCGUGCCUGUUGAAGAAUGAGCCGGCGACUCAUAGGCAGUGGCCAUCGAAUGAGAGGACCUG
rnacentral:ncRNA from 1 species